ACUUUGGAAUAGCCCUCGCUUUCAAGAUCUUCGCUCUAAGCUUUACACCAAACUCUGCAAGCUUGUCAGCCUCAGGCAUAACAUCCUUCACAGCCACAUGAGAGGAGAACCUAUGAGCCCACUCGAGCAAGCAACGUGUCUUGGCUUCAGUAAGCAGCUUCAUCUCACUAAUCUUCUCUAUGACUUUUAACCAGACCAAGAAUGACCCGAGUGCAAUGUCCAGGUACCCGAUUUGGUCCCCACCAAAGAAAGGUUUACCUUGGCUCAACUUUCCAAAUACUUCCUCCAACAGCACCAGCCCUUCUUCCACUUGCGCUAUGGCUGCCUUUUUAGCAUCCUCCGAUUCAGCAGCCAACACUCCUCUCAAGGCAGGGAACCACUAUACCACGGAAAAACAAGAAAAAAGAAACAACUAUGAGAAUCUUUUCAAUCAAAAACGCCAAGGUGAGACAUAAUAAACUGUAGUCAACAACGGUAGGAUCAUUCAUAUGAAGAAAUACAAACCUUUUCGUCAAUAUAGGCAGCCCAAAAUCGAGAAUUGGCACGUUCAUAAGGAUCGGAAGGAAGAAUGGAAGGGCCAGAGGACCAGACCUCAUCGAUGUAUUGGACAAUGAUGAGAGACUCACAGAUCGGCUUGUCACCAUGUAAGAGAACUGGGACUUUCUUGAAA
rnacentral:lncRNA from 1 species